GGCGGGGUAGCUCAGUUGGUUAGAGCUGCGGAUUCAUAAUCCGUGUGUCGGCGGUUCAAGUCCGCCCCUCGCUACCA
rnacentral:tRNA from 1 species